AAGGGCAUGGCUGGUUAGCGACCUGCGGAAAGGAUAACCGCUGAAAGCAUCUAAGUGGGAAGCCUGUUCCAAGAUGAGAUCACCCACCGGGAAAACCGGGUAAGGCCCGUGGCAGAACACCACGUUGAUAGGCCGGAAGUGUACGCAUGGCAACAUGUUCAGCUAACCGGUACUAAUCGGCCGAGGGCUUGGUUCUACAU
rnacentral:rRNA from 1 species